GCUCAACCGGGGAGGGUCAUUGGAAACUGGGGAACUUGAGCGCAGAAGAGGAGAGUGGAAUUCCACGUGUAGCGGUGAAAUGCGUAGAGAUGUGGAGGAACACCAGUGGCGAAGGCGACUCUCUGGUCUGUAACUGACGCUGAGGCGCGAAAGCGUGGGGAGCGAACAGGAUUAGAUACCCUGGUAGUCCACGCCGUAAACGAUGAGUGCUAAGUGUUAGAGGGUUUCCGCCCUUUAGUGCUGCAGCAAACGCAUUAAGCACUCCGCCUGGGAAGUACGGUCGCAAGACUGAAACUCAAAGGAAUUGACGGGGGCCCGCACAAGCGGUGGAGCAUGUGGUUUAAUUCGAAGCAACGCGAAGAACCUUACCAGGUCUUGACAUCCUCUGACAACCCUAGAGAUAGGGCUUCCCCUUCGGGGGCAGAGUGACAGGUGGUGCAUGGUUGUCGUCAGCUCGUGUCGUGAGAUGUUGGGUUAAGUCCCGCAACGAGCGCAACCCUUGAUCUUAGUUGCCAGCAUUCAGUUGGGCACUCUAAGGUGACUGCCGGUGACAAACCGGAGGAAGGUGGGGAUGACGUCAAAUCAUCAUGCCCCUUAUGACCUGGGCUACACACGUGCUACAAUGGGCAGAACAAAG
rnacentral:rRNA from 1 species